UUCAGGACAUAUGAUGAAAAACAUUUCUCGUAUUCCAAACUUUAGUGUUAAUUCGGGUCAUAGAGUUACAUACCAGUCAUGUCUUUUGGUGCAGACUCCUAUGUUACUUACCUUCCUCUCGUUUCCUUUAGGUACAUGUAUAUACACUGCUUCUUUUCCAAGUUUUGCACUAUCAGAGGGAUUUCUCAGCUGAACGCGAUGUGCGCAAUCUGCUACCGUCAACACCAACAGGUACAUGUAUAUACACUGCUUCUUUUCCAAGUUUUGCACUAUCAGAGGGAUUUCUCAGCUGAACGCGAUGUGCGCAAUCUGCUACCGUCAACACCAACAGGUACAUGUAUAUACACUGCUUCUUUUCCAAGUUUUGCACUAUCAGAGGGAUUUCUCAGCUGAACGCGAUGUGCACAAUCUGCUACCGUCAACACCAACAGGGUCCUGGGCUCCAUCUGUUCUCACUCAGCCUCCCUCAGUGCCUGAGGCUACGGGACAGACACCAUCUCCUAUUCUGGAAGCAGCAGUAACAUUGGGGCUUAUAACUGUGUUCUGGUACCAACAGUACCUGGGAACAGCCCCCAAACUCAUCAUUCAUGGUGUCAGUUCUCAGCCCUCAGGGAUCCCUGGUCACUUCUCUGGCUCCAAGUCUGGGAACAUGGCCUCCCUGGGCAUCUCUGGGCUCCAGCUUGAGGAUGAGGUGCAGUAUCACUGUCAAUCAUAUACAAGCAGUGGUACUUCCCACAGUGGACCAAGUUCAUGGGGAAAUGUGACCAAAACCUCAGACUUUGAUAUCUGCUGUCUCUUCUGUUCAUCAGCACAGCUACAGGUGUUUCCAUAA